UUUUAUAUUCUAUUCUAUUUUAUUCUAUUCAAUUUGUUUUUAGUUUAUUUUAUCCUAUUUUGUGAUGAAAUUUUAUGUUGUUGUGGAUUAAAAGAGUUUUAGACUCUUAACAUAGACUGGUUUUGUUUCAUUGGUAAUAGAGCGAAUAUUAGAUUGUUCUUUGGUAGUAUAUCAAUAGCCAUCAUCUAGUUUGAGGUCAAUUGUUAUGAUUACACUAGAUAUUGUAUUGAGGCUAUUAUGAGCUACUUUUCAAAAGUCAAUCAAAAGAUGAAAAUGUAUUAUAAUAGUAGAAUUAAACAAAGAAAUUACAAUAUGAGAGAUAUAAUAGAGCAAUUCCAAAUAGAAGCUCAAAUACAACAUCUCUUAGGCCAGACAACUACUUUGCAAGGGCAAAU
rnacentral:lncRNA from 1 species